rnacentral:rRNA from 1 species
UACAGAGGGUGCGAGCGUUGUUCGGAAUUAUUGGGCGUAAAGGGCGCGUAGGCGGUGCCACAAGUCACUUGUGAAAUCUCCGGGCUUAACUCGGAGCCUGCAGGCGAAACUGUGGUGCUGGAGUGUGGGAGAGGUGCGUGGAAUUCCCGGUGUAGCGGUGAAAUGCGUAGAGAUCCGGAGGAACACCACUGGCGCAGGCAAGGUCCUGGCUCGUAUCUGACGCUGAGGUGCGAAAGCUAGGGGAGCGAACGGG